rnacentral:miRNA from 1 species
ACUGGCCAUUCCAUUGCCUGGU